rnacentral:rRNA from 1 species
AACGAACGCUGGCGGCAGGCUUAACACAUGCAAGUCGAACGCAUCCUUCGGGGUGAGUGGCAGACGGGUGAGUAACGCGUGGGAACGUGCCCUUCAGUUCGGGAUAACCCAGGGAAACUUGGGCUAAUACCGGAUACGUGCGAGAGCAGAAAGAUUUAUCGCUGAAGGAUCGGCCCGCGUCUGAUUAGCUAGUUGGUGGGGUAAUGGCCCACCAAGGCGACGAUCAGUAGCUGGUCUGAGAGGAUGAUCAGCUACAUUGGGACUGAGACACGGCCCAAACUCCUACGGGAGGCAGCAGUGGGGAAUAUUAGACAAUGGGCGCAAGCCUGAUCCAGCCAUGCCGCGUGAGUGAUGAAGGCCUUAGGGUUGUAAAGCUCUUUCGUCCGGGACGAUAAUGACGGUACCGGAAGAAGAAGCCCCGGCUAACUUCGUGCCAGCAGCCGCCGUAA